rnacentral:rRNA from 1 species
GACGAACGCUGGCGGCGUGCUUAACACAUGCAAGUCGAACGGAAAGGCCCUGCUUUUGUGGGGUGCUCGAGUGGCGAACGGGUGAGUAACACGUGAGUAACCUGCCCUUGACUUUGGGAUAACUUCAGGAAACUGGGGCUAAUACCGGAUAGGAGCUCCUGCUGCAUGGUGGGGGUUGGAGAGUUUCGGCGGUUGGGGAUGGACUCGCGGCUUAUCAGCUUGUUGGUGGGGUAGUGGCUUACCAAGGCUUUGACGGGUAGCCGGCCUGAGAGGGUGACCGGCCACAUUGGGACUGAGAUACGGCCCAGACUCCUACGGGAGGCAGCAGUGGGGAAUAUUGCACAAUGGGCGGAAGCCUGAUGCAGCAACGCCGCGUGCGGGAUGACGGCCUUCGGGUUGUAAACCGCUUUCGCCUGUGACGAAGCGUGAGUGAGGGUAAUGGGUAAAGAAGCACCGGCUAACUACGUG